GUGAAUCAUCGAAUUUUUGAACGCAAAUUGCACUCUCUUCGGAGAGUAUGCCUGUUUGAGGGUCAGCCUAAAAAAAAAAAAUCGACAUAGUCGCUGUUUCGCGGUGACAUUCGUCGGAAAUUUUUUCAUCUUAAAUUUUUGGGUUUUAUUUGUCUUUAAAUUUUCUUUACGGUUCCCCGAACUUUUUUA
rnacentral:misc_RNA from 1 species